rnacentral:rRNA from 1 species
UACACUCCUACGGGAGGCAGCAGUGGGGAAUAUUGGACAAUGGGCGCAAGCCUGAUCCAGCCAUGCCGCGUGAGUGAUGAAGGCCCUAGGGUUGUAAAGCUCUUUCACCGGUGAAGAUAAUGACGGUAACCGGAGAAGAAGCCCCGGCUAACUUCGUGCCAGCAGCCGCGGUAAUACGAAGGGGGCUAGCGUUGUUCGGAUUUACUGGGCGUAAAGCGCACGUAGGCGGACUAUUAAGUCAGGGGUGAAAUCCCGGGGCUCAACCCCGGAACUGCCUUUGAUACUGGUAGUCUUGAGUUCGAGAGAGGUGAGUGGAAUUCCGAGUGUAGAGGUGAAAUUCGUAGAUAUUCGGAGGAACACCAGUGGCGAAGGCGGCUCACUGGCUCGAUACUGACGCUGAGGUGCGAAAGCGUGGGGAGCAAACAGGAUUAGAAACCCUAGUAGUCCCAU